CCCUUAGAUGUCCGGGGCUGCACGCGCGCUACACUGAAGGAAUCAGCGUGCUAAAACCAUUGUCGAAAGGCAUUGGUAAACCCAUUAAAAUCCUACGUGAUUGGGAUCGGGAAUUGCAAUUAUUUCCCUUGAACGAGGAAUUCCCAGUAAGUGUGGGUCAUAAGCUCGCGUUGAUUACGUCUCUGCCCUUUGUACACACCGCCCGUCGCUGCCCGGGACUGAGCCGUUUCGAGAAAAGCGGGGACUGCUGCUGUCGGGGCUUUCGGGCCUUGGCUUCGGUGGAAACCGCUUUAAUCGCAGUGGCUUGAACCGGGCAAAAGUCGUANCA
rnacentral:rRNA from 1 species